UACGUAGGGGGCAAGCGUUGUCCGGAUUUAUUGGGCGUAAAGAGCGUGUAGGCGGCCUGGUAGGUCAGCUGUGAAAACUCGAGGCUCAACCUCGAGACGCCGGUUGAAACCAUCAGGCUAGAGUCCGGAAGAGGAGAGUGGAAUUCCCGGUGUAGCGGUGAAAUGCGCAGAUAUCGGGAAGAACACCCGUGGCUAAGGCGGCUCACUGGCCCGGUACUGACGCUGAGGUGCGAAAGCGUGGGGAGCAAACAGG
rnacentral:rRNA from 1 species